rnacentral:rRNA from 1 species
GACGAACGCUGGCGGCGUGCUUAACACAUGCAAGUCGAGCGGUAAGGCCCCUUCGGGGGUACACGAGCGGCGAACGGGUGAGUAACACGUGAGCAAUCUGCCCUUCACUUUGGGAUAACUCUGGGAAACGAGAGCUAAUACCGAAUACGACCACUUCAGGCAUCUGAUGGUGGUGGAAAGUUCCGGCGGUGAAGGAUGAGCUCGCGGCCUAUCAGCUAGUUGGUGGAGUAACGGCCCACCAAGGCUUCGACGGGUAGCCGGCCUGAGAGGGUGACCGGCCACACUGGGACUGAGACACGGCCCAGACUCCUACGGGAGGCAGCAGUGGGGAAUAUUGGACAAUGGGCGAAAGCCUGAUCCAGCAACGCCGCGUGAAGGAUGACGGCCUUCGGGUUGUAACCUACUUUCAGUAGGGACGAAGCGCAAGUGACGGUACCGUACAGAAGAAG